UGGGGAAUCUUGCACAAUGGGGGCAACCCUGAUGCAGCGACGCCGCGUGAGCGAUGAAGCCCUUCGGGGCGUAAAGCUCUUUCGACCGGAACGAUAAUGACGGUACCGGGAGAAGAAACCGCGGCUAACUACGUGCCAGCAGCCGCGGUAAUACGUAGGCAGCAAGCGUUGUUCGGAGUUACUGGGCGUAAAGAGUGCGUAGGCGGUUUUCUAAGUUCGGUGUGAAAUCUCCCGGCUUAACUGGGAGGGUGCGCCGAAGACUGGGAAGCUGGAGUGUGGGAAAGGCAGGCGGAAUUCCUGGUGUAGCGGUGAAAUGCGUAGAUAUCAGGAGGAACACCGGCGGUGUAGACGGCUUGCUAGACCAUAACUGACGCUGAGGCACGAAAGCGUGGGGAGCAAACA
rnacentral:rRNA from 1 species